rnacentral:lncRNA from 1 species
GGCACGGCCCGGGAGAGGGAGGCGGGGAGAGGAGAGCGGCGGGACUCCGGCCCCGGCAGUGCGCGCAGCCAGCCCGGCAGCCAAGUUCCCCGCCGGAGUUAGUGUAUAAAGGAUACCAUAUAUGCACACACACAUACGCACACCUCUCCGGCAAAGGCGCUCCUCCUCCGCCUCCUCCUCCUCCUCCCUCGACCAACUGCUGGAAUUAAAAUAAAAAAAAAAAAAAAAAAAAGGGGGGGGGGGGGGAAGAAAAAAAAAAAAGCAAAACAAACACCAAAAAAAAAAAAAAAAAGCGAAACGAAACGGGAGAGAGAGAACGAGAGAGAGAGAGAGAGCGCGAGAGGGAGAAACAACCCGCGAGGUGCCGAGAGAACCCAACUUCGGGAUUUUUCCUUUUCUUUUUUGACUUUUUUUGUUUUUUUGUUUUUUUUUUGUUUUGUUUUUUUUUUCCUUCCUUUCUUUAAUCCGAACGCCUCGAGGAGACGCAGGGAGAGACCAUGCCUGGCGCCGGCCGGGGCUGCGGAGAAAGGGCAGCGGAGGGGAGCUGCCUGAACGGGGCACCGAGCGCUCCGGCGGCGGAGCAACUUUGAGAAAUGCAGCGUCGCCGCCAGCAGCAUCACCGCGGGAAGUUUGCUCCGGACGCCGGCGAAACUUGCGAAUAAAAGAGCGAACCGACAGCGAGGAGGAGAGGAGAGCCGGAGAGAGAGGACGAGAGAUCCCCCCCCCCCCCGCGUCCCCCCCCCCUCCUCCCGCUCCGCGCCGGGAGGAGGAAGAGGAGGAAAAGUUUCGCUCGGAGCGGGGAAGGCUGCGCGGCGGAGAUGUACUCCUAGGGGAGCGCCGGGGCGAAGCGCGGGGGCUCGCCGGUCCCCCCCCCCCCCCCUCCCGGCCGCUUUUUAGCCUUUGUUUGGUUUCCUCCCCGCGAGCGGCGGCAAAGUCGGGCGAGAAGAAGGCGGAGGAGAGAAAAGCGCGAAUCUCCUUUUAUUUUAUUUUUUUUUUCCCCCCCGGAAAACGAGAGAGAAAAGCCAAAAAAAAAAAAAACCCACCAACAAAAAAAACCCGACACCGACAAAAAACAACCACCGCCGAGGACCCCACCGUCAUCGCCCCGGCGGCACCGAGCGGCGGCAGGCGAGCGGUCCCGGCGCUCGCCCAGCGCAGGACGGCCGGCGGACGGGCGGAGCGGAG